rnacentral:rRNA from 1 species
GUUGAUCAGUGGACUCAGGACGAACGCUGGCGGCGUGCCUAACACAUGCAAGUCGAGCGAGGAGAUUCCUUCGGGAUGAUCCUAGCGGCGGACGGGUGAGUAACACGUGGGCAACCUGCCUCAUAGAGAGGAAUAGCCUUCCGAAAGGGAGAUUAAUACCUCAUAACAUUGCAGUUUCGCAUGGAACAGCAAUUAAAGGAGCAAUCCGCUAUGAGAUGGGCCCGCGGCGCAUUAGCUAGUUGGUGAGGUAACGGCUCACCAAGGCGACGAUGCGUAGCCGACCUGAGAGGGUGAUCGGCCACAUUGGGACUGAGACACGGCCCAGACUCCUACGGGAGGCAGCAGUGGGGAAUAUUGCACAAUGGGGGAAACCCUGAUGCAGCCAACGCCGCGUGAGUGAUGACGGCCUUCGGGUUGUAAAGCUCUGUCUUCAGGGACGAUAAUGACGGUACCUGAGGAGGAAGCCACGGCUAACUGCGUGCCAGCAGCGGC